rnacentral:rRNA from 1 species
AUGAGGGUCCACCCGGCCCCGCGGAAGCGCACCAUCGCCGUGCAGCGCUGCGCCGCGGCCGCCCUAAGCGCAGCGGGCGGCGCCAAGAAGCUGCGGCGCCUCUCGCACAUCUUCGCGAAGGUGCUCGAGCUCCCUUUCGCCGCCGACGCCGACGUCGCCGUCGAGGAGGACGCAGCGGAGCUCCGCUUCGUCGCCGCCACGGAAGGCUUCUCCCCAGGCGGCGCCUGCGCCCACGCCCUCGAGAUCCACCCUGGCGUCACCAAGGUCGUCGUACGGGACCUGUCCACCGGCAUCGGCGCCGAUGACCGCACCGCUACCUUCGAGCUCGAUCGGUGGCGGUUCCGUCUCCCGCCUUGCACGCGCCCCACCAUGGCCACAGCAACCUACGCCGAGGGCGAGCUCAUCGUCACCGUGCCCAAGGGUGCCGUUCCUGACGAGGGCGAUGGCAACGCUGACGGAGCCGCCAUCCUAGGAGGCUCCGGGGCCGAGAGGGUCCUCGUGUUUGUACAGUAA